rnacentral:rRNA from 1 species
AUUGAACGCUGGCGGCAGGCUUAACACAUGCAAGUCGAGCGGAGAGAGGUAGCUUGCUACUGAUCUUAGCGGCGGACGGGUGAGUAAUGCUUAGGAAUCUGCCUAUUAGUGGGGGACAACAUUUCGAAAGGAAUGCUAAUACCGCAUACGUCCUACGGGAGAAAGCAGGGGAUCUUCGGACCUUGCGCUAAUAGAUGAGCCUAAGUCGGAUUAGCUAGUUGGUGGGGUAAAGGCCUACCAAGGCGACGAUCUGUAGCGGGUCUGAGAGGAUGAUCCGCCACACUGGGACUGAGACACGGCCCAGACUCCUACGGGAGGCAGCAGUGGGGAAUAUUGGACAAUGGGCGCAAGCCUGAUCCAGCCAUGCCGCGUGUGUGAAGAAGGCCUUAUGGUUGUAAAGCACUUUAAGCGAGGAGGAGGCCACUUUAGUUAAUACCUAGAGAUAGUGGACGUUACUCGCAGAAUAAGCACCGGCUAACUCUGUGCCAGCAGCCGCGGUAAUACAGAGGGUGCAAGCGUUAAUCGGAUUUACUGGGCGUAAAGCGCGCGUAGGCGGCUAAUUAAGUCAAAUGUGAAAUCCCCGAGCUUAACUUGGGAAUUGCAUUCGAUACUGGUUAGCUAGAGUGUGGGAGAGGAUGGUAGAAUUCCAGGUGUAGCGGUGAAAUGCGUAGAGAUCUGGAGGAAUACCGAUGGCGAAGGCAGCCAUCUGGCCUAACACUGACGCUGAGGUGCGAAAGCAUGGGGAGCAAACAGGAUUAGAUACCCUGGUAGUCCAUGCCGUAAACGAUGUCUACUAGCCGUUGGGGCCUUUGAGGCUUUAGUGGCGCAGCUAACGCGAUAAGUAGACCGCCUGGGGAGUACGGUCGCAAGACUAAAACUCAAAUGAAUUGACGGGGGCCCGCACAAGCGGUGGAGCAUGUGGUUUAAUUCGAUGCAACGCGAAGAACCUUACCUGGCCUUGACAUAGUAAGAACUUUCCAGAGAUGGAUUGGUGCCUUCGGGAACUUACAUACAGGUGCUGCGUGGCUGUCGUCAGCUCGUGUCGUGAGAUGUUGGGUUAAGUCCCGCAACGAGCGCAACCCUUUUCCUUAUUUGCCAGCGAGUAAUGUCGGGAACUUUAAGGAUACUGCCAGUGACAAACUGGAGGAAGGCGGGGACGACGUCAAGUCAUCAUGGCCCUUACGGCCAGGGCUACACACGUGCUACAAUGGUCGGUACAAAGGGUUGCUACCUAGCGAUAGGAUGCUAAUCUCAAAAAGCCGAUCGUAGUCCGGAUUGGAGUCUGCAACUCGACUCCAUGAAGUCGGAAUCGCUAGUAAUCGCGGAUCAGAAUGCCGCGGUGAAUAAAAUCCCGGGCCU